GCGCUUUCUUCAGCAGCACAUAUAAUAAAAUUGGAAUGAUACAGAGAUUAGCAUGGCCCCUGAGCAAGGAUGACACGCAAAUUCGUGAAACAUUCCAUAUAUUU